GCCCAGGUGGAGGAAUUGGAAUACUCAGCAGCUUGAGGGGCUGUGCUCGUAAGAGCGUGCGGGUUCAAAUCCCGCCCUGGGCACCA
rnacentral:tRNA from 1 species